UCGGUGGAUGCCUUGGCGCCAAGAGGCGAUGAAGGACGUGGCACGCUGCGAAAAGCCGCGGGGAGAUGCGAGCGAUCGUUGAUCCGCGGAUGUCCGAAUGGGGAAACCCCUCCUUAGGGAGAUCGGCGGCUGAAUACAUAGGCUGUCGAGGCGAACCCGGGGAACUGAAACAUCUCAGUACCUGGAGGAAAAGACAUCAACCGAGAUUCCGUUAGUAGUGGCGAGCGAACGCGGACCAGGCCAGCGCCUGGAGAGAGUUUACCGGAACGGUCUGGAAUGGCCGGCGAGAUGGGUGACAGCCCCGUACGGGACGGACGAUCUUCGGGACACGAGUAGGGCGGGACACGUGAAAUCCUGUCUGAACAUGGGGGGACCACCCUCCAAGCCUAAGUACUCCUCAGCGACCGAUAGCGAACAAGUACCGUGAGGGAAAGAUGAAAAGCACUUUGGAAAGAGAGUUAA
rnacentral:rRNA from 1 species